CAGCAGCCACGGGAAUACGGAGGGUGCAAGCGUUAAUCGGAAUUACUGGGCGUAAAGCGCACGCAGGCGGUUUGUUAAGUCAGAUGUGAAAUCCCCGAGCUUAACUUGGGAACUGCAUUUGAAACUGGCAAGCUAGAGCCUUGUAGAGGGGGGUAGAAUUCCAGGUGUAGCGGUGAAAUGCGUAGAGAUCUGGAGGAAUACCGGUGGCGAAGGCGGCCCCCUGGACAAAGACUGACGCUCAGGUGCGAAAGCGUGGGGAGCAAACAGGAUUAGAGACCCGCGUAGUCCCUGUCUCUUAUAC
rnacentral:rRNA from 1 species